rnacentral:tRNA from 1 species
UUCCUGGUAGUCCAGUGGUAAAGAAUCCUGCCUGCCAAUGCAGGAGACACGGGUUCAAUCCCCGGUCCAGGAA